rnacentral:rRNA from 1 species
GGGGAAUAUUGGACAAUGGGCGCAAGCCUGAUCCAGCCAUGCCGCGUGUGUGAAGAAGGCCUUCGGGUUGUAAAGCACUUUUGUACGGGAAGAAAAGCACUCGGUUAAUACCCGGGUGUCAUGACGGUACCGUAAGAAUAAGCACCGGCUAACUUCGUGCCAGCAGCCGCGGUAAUACGAAGGGUGCAAGCGUUACUCGGAAUUACUGGGCGUAAAGCGUGCGUAGGUGGUUUGUUAAGUCUGAUGUGAAAGCCCUGGGCUCAACCUGGGAAUUGCAUUGGAUACUGGCAGUCUAGAGUGCGGUAGAGGGUAGCGGAAUUCCCGGUGUAGCAGUGAAAUGCGUAGAUAUCGGGAGGAACAUCCGUGGCGAAGGCGGCUGGCUAGACCGGUUCUGACGCUGAUGCGCGAAAGCGUGGGGAGCAAA